rnacentral:rRNA from 1 species
ACUCCUACGGGAGGCAGCAGUGGGGAAUAUUGCACAAUGGGCGCAAGCCUGAUGCAGCAACGCCGCGUGAGCGAUGAAGGCCUUCGGGUCGUAAAGCUCUGUCCUCAAGGAAGAAUAAAUGACGGUACUUGAGGAGGAAGCCCCGGCUAACUACGUGCCAGCAGCCGCGGUAAUACGUAGGGGCAAGCGUUAUCCGGAAUCACUGGGCGUAAAGGGUGCGUAGGCGGUUUUUCAAGUCAGAAGUGAAAGGCUAUGGCUCAACCAUAGUAAGCUUUUGAAACUGUUAAACUUGAGUGCAGGAGAGGAAAGUGGAAUUCCUAGUGUAGAGGUGAAAUUCGUAGAUAUUAGGAGGAACACCAGUGGCGAAGGCGACUUUCUGGACUGUAACUGACGCUGAGGCACGAAAGCGUGGGGAGCGAACAGGAUUAGAUAUCCUGGUAGCACAGAG